rnacentral:lncRNA from 1 species
AAUUAUUUUCUUUGCACUCAUUUUUUCUUUCAUUCAUUCCUCCCUCAACCUCCAUCUAUUUAUAAUCUCAGUUUCGUUAAGAUUCUUCAUUUCAUUUGUUUUUUACCUUCAUAAAUAUUAAGCGUGUGAAUUUUUGCCAACUAUUCAAACACAAGCUUUUCUAUAUAUGUUUAUCACAAUUACUAUCCACAUUGCCAUUUAUCAAUAUCAAACAAAAU